GUGCACAGUGAACACCCAAGUGUGCUUCAUAAGUUCCCUUGGUCUUAAUUCUGUGCUAGAAUAAUCUGUGCUUUUCCUCUGCAUUAGAAGGAGCAUCUUCCUUUUACAUGUAUUCAAAAGGACAGUACAUUU
ensembl:snoRNA